GGUGUUGGCAAACUUGCUAGAAACUUUUGUGACUCUAAUUCAUCAUUACUAGAUCCAAUUACCGCAUUAAUGCAAGCUUCUUGUUUGGAACUUAACCUUGGCAAAUUAUAAUUCCUCCUCUCGGCAUUGACCCAGUCUCUAAAUAAAACUGAUGUUUCCAAACUUUCUUCCGCCAAUGAAUGUCUAUGAUCGCAAAGUUGAAACCU
rnacentral:lncRNA from 1 species